GUCCUUAACGCACAGGGGCCAGCCGUAAAGACCACCAGCCGUUGGCGCAACCAUUGGGCCAAGAUGGCCCAUAAAGCGAAAAAAUAAGCGGCCAGGGCAGCGAGCGAGAAGAGGGCUACUGGAGGUGGCAAAGUGGGUGGCGUCGACGGCCGCGUCCUCGACGUCCUUAUGAGGACAGGAGGGGUCCUUGUUUCCCCCCCUGAGUACUUCGCCGAUAGCGAGGACGACGCAAGUUCAGAGGAAGCUGCAGGGCCCAGCG